rnacentral:rRNA from 10 species
UUUAACGGCCUUACCACCAUGGAGACGCCCGAUCUCGUCUGAUCUCGGAAGCUAAGCAUGGUCGGGCCUGGUUAGUACUUGGAUGCCGUCCUUCGGAGGUGAUGUAAAAC